rnacentral:rRNA from 1 species
AUUANGUAAAAUGACUCUCGGCAACGGAUAUCUCGGCUCUUGCAUCGAUGAAGAACGUAGCGAAAUGCGAUACUUGGUGUGAAUUGCAGAAUCCCGUGAACCAUCGAGUCUUUGAACGCAAGUUGCGCCCAAAGCCAUUAGGUUGAGGGCACGCCUGCCUGGGUGUCACAC